rnacentral:misc_RNA from 1 species
ACAGAUAAAAAUGAAGACAGUUUAUUUAAUUUUGCUGGCACCUGUUCUAGUUCUAGUUUUCUCUGUUCUUAUUUUCCUGAAUUCUGUUCUACAGUUAGAGAACUCUUUAUUAGAGUUUGAUUCUUCCACUCCAUCUAGUUUUGUGUCAUCUGAUUCGGAAAACCUGAGUUGGUUUGUUCAACUGAGUGAUCUUCAUAUCUCCCAGUUCAAGGAUAUUGGAAGAGUUGAUCAGCUUCUAGAGUUUACAGAUAUAUCCUUAAACAUUCUUAAUCCAGCAGCUGUAGUUGUUACAGGAGAUCUGACGGAUGCGAAAUCAGAAAACAUGCUGAGUAGCAAACAAUCAGUGAAAGAAUGGGAUAUGUACAGAAUGGUGGUUGAGCAGGCUCAGAAAACGAAUAUAUGGCUCGAGGUGCCGGGAAACCAUGAUAGGUUCGAUGUGUUGGUCAGAGCAGAGUCGGAUCAUUACUUAAAGUACCGAGAAGAAGCUGGUAGAACUGGUUUGGUUUGGCAGGGUCGACAUUAUCUCUAUCUUCUGGAGAAUAGAGGAGUUAAACUAGCUUUCAUUGGAGUAGAUGAAACUCCUAAAUACGGGUUCAGAGCUCCAUUUAAUUUUAUUGGACAUCUCAACCAGACUGAUAUUAAGGAUCUACAAGUUCUUCGUCAAAGGGCAGAGGCGUGGACCCCUAAUAUUGUUUGGUUUGGUCAUUAUCCUACUUCAUCUUUAAUAUAUUCAAAUACAGGAUUGCGUGAUAUUGCGAGAUCAGGACUUGUUUACCUAGCUGGUCAUCUCCAUUCUGUGUACGGUACUGCCAGGGACAUGUACGGUGUACAUAGCUCAGGUUUGGUUGAGGCUGAGCUUGAGGAUUGGAAGGAUGCUAGGAUGGUUCGACUGCUAGCUGUUGAUAACGGAAGGUUGACCUACACGGACUGGAAGCAUGGUAGCUGGCCUGUUGUGCUGGUCACCUGGCCUCCCAGGUUGGGUCACGAAACUAAAUUCCGGAAAUCCUCUCAUAUCCGACUUCUCAUGUUCUCCCUUAAACCUGUCUCCGAGGUCCUAGUCACAAUAGACGAGGGAUCGGAGGAGAGAAGUGUUCAGGAUAAAUCAUUAUCCAACCUGUACACCCUGGCCUGGAACCAGGACAAAUACAAUAAAAUACACACCAUCAAUGUCAAGAUUGUUCAUGAAGACGGAGAGAUAUCUAUUCAUAAACAUCAGUUCUCCGUGACAGGACAAGGAUAUUCUUCUCUCCCAAUCCUGAGCAGAUUAUUCAUCCUUCUCAACCUGACCUCAGUAUUCCAGUUCUUAUUCCUGGUCACCUUCUGUAUAUGUACCCUCCCCCUGGCAUUAUGUAGGACGACCCUGAGCUCCCACCUCCAGGACAAGUCCUGUAUCCUCACCAGGUUCUACCUUCUCUCCUCUCUAGACGGUAUCUAUUUCCCCCUCAUCCUCUACCCUAUCUACCUGGCAGCUGGACCCUGGUGUAUCGGGGAGAUGAUGACCAGCAGCUACGGGAUAAUAUUCACCUGGGGAACCCUGUUCUGGACCGAGACAGGGUUAACUUACCUUCCAACAACAACAACAUGGUUGUUUGCAACUGUUCAUCUUGCAAUAGUUCAUCUGCCCGUUACAAUUCUUCUCUCCGGUCUAGUUCUUGCAAGAUUUAAGAGUUUAGAAGAGAACGGAGUAAAGAAUUAUCAGAUUAAAGUUUACCAAGUUCUCCUUCUCCUGUCUUGUAUACAGCAAGGAUUUCUGGUAUACUACCAAUACCAAUCUUACGGAGUAAGCACAUUACUAGGGGGCAUGCGCGCCGGGGAGCUAGUGCUUACAAUAAUUCUUUGGAGGAGAGUUUUAAACCUGGAUAUUACAUGUUUCUCUCGAUAUAGGUUUUCAAAUCUUCAUGUUGAAUAGUUUAUUACAGGCAGAAGUGUAUCUUUUCCCCCGGUAAACCAGUAAAACAUCAAAGUAAUUCCUUUUUGUACAGUUGUUUUCUGUAACAAAUCACUAGCGAGCAAUACUAUCUCCAGUCAAUUACAGGAUUCUGUGUGUUGCCACUAACUCUUAUUUUUUAAUGCCUAUAUCUUUGCAACCCAAAUUUUUUUGGGACAUCGAGAUCCAAAGAUAUAUAAUUAAAUAUAGUUCGAAAGUGUACACCAUCAGAUUAAAAAGAUAUAGGAAUUAAAAAUUCGUGUUUGUGGCGAAGCCUCAAUUCCUUAUAAUUUUAAUCUUUUAGUUUUUUAGCUUUUUAAAAUUAAAAACUAAAAACUAAAAACCAUCUUUCAAGAUGAAUUGCCAACUAAAAAAGGCAUUAUAAGCCUGACACUAGUUUUUAAUGGUUGUAGAAUUUACAAUUUAUGGCGAGUUAGUAUUAGAGAAGCAAUGCUUUUUCUUAUUUUUUAUCGUUUUUAACGAUCUCUAUUCACUUACUAUUGCUCAUCCUUAUUAUGUUUUUUAAUCAUUAAAUAAAGUGUAAAACCUUUUUAAGGGUUAUAAUAGAAUUUUAAUAUGAAGACGACUACAUAUUUUAAAUUAGCGUAAAUAAUUACACGCUCUUGCUUUUAAACGAUUAUUUGUAUUUAUUUAGAAUUAUACAUAUGAAACUAAGCCAUAUUAUGAAUUUAAAACUGCACAUAUGCAAUUUGUUUAUU